GUAGGGAAUAUUGGACAAUGGGGGCAACCCUGAUCCAGCGACGCCGCGUGAGUGAUGAAGGCCUUCGGGUCGUAAAGCUCUGUUGCAGGGGAAGAACACAAUGACGGUACCCUGCUAGAAAGGAUCGGCUAACUUCGUGCCAGCAGCCGCGGUAAGACGAGGGAUCCUAGCGUUGUUCGGAAUUAUUGGGCGUAAAGCGGGUGCAGGUGGCUUGGUAAGUCAGAUGUGAAAGCCUGGGGCUUAACCCCAGAAGUGCAGUUGAUACUGCUGAGCUUGAGUGCUGGAGAGGCUAUUAGAAUGCCUGGUGUAGUGGUGAAAUACGUAGAUAUCAGGAGGAAUACCGGAGGCGAAGGCGGAUAGCUGGCCAGACACUGACACUCAGACCCGAAAGCGUGGGGAUCAAACAGGAUUAGAAACCCUGGUAGUCC
rnacentral:rRNA from 1 species